rnacentral:rRNA from 1 species
CCCAGACUCCUACGGGAGGCAGCAGUGGGGGAUAUUGCACAAUGGGGGAAACCCUGAUGCAGCGACGCCGCGUGUGGGAAGACGGUCUUCUGGAUUGUAAACCACUGUCCCCAGGGACGAAAAUGACGGUACCUGGGGAGGAAGCCCCGGCUAACUACGUGCCAGCAGCCGCGGUAAUACGUAGGGGGCGAGCGUUAUCCGGAUUCACUGGGUGUAAAGGGAGCGUAGACGGCCAUGCAAGCCAGGGGUGAAAGCCCGGGGCCCAACCCCGGGACUGCCCUUGGAACUGCAUGGCUGGAGUGCGGGAGGGGCAGGCGGAAUUCCUGGUGUAGCGGUGAAAUGCGUAGAUAUCAGGAGGAACACCGGCGGCGAAGGCGGCCUGCUGGACCGCGACUGACGUUGAGGCUCGAAAGCGUGGGGAGCGAACAGGAUUAGAUACCCCGGUACAA